GUAGUUCAGCGGUAGAAUAGGGGACGAAAGAUCCCGGUGUCGCAGGUUCGAUCCCUGCCGGGGGCACCA
rnacentral:tRNA from 1 species